rnacentral:lncRNA from 1 species
CAUAAAAAAAAAAAAUAAUAAUAAAAUCUUCAUCCUCAUGAAUUAGAUAUGUAGCCGAUCCUUACCAAAGUUAUUCUUUUCAUCUUCAAUAGUAUCAUCUUCCUCAUUAGAAUUAUUGUCUAUUAACAAUAGUGUAAAUGAUAAUAAGUCCAGCCUCAGGAUUUACAAGAAUCUCCUCCAAAGAGGUAACUUCGACAAGUAGCUGCUCAUUUGCCCUCUCUACAAGAUAUUCAUACCUUUUGACAAACAAUUCAUCCUACGAACACAAUCCACGAGAUAUCAAACAGCCCAUAAAAUCAAAAUAGUAAGAGAUAUAGCACAACCUAAGAGAUAUAAUCGACUUACAAAAUCCAUAAAUGGAGCCUAUUAAUUCUAAACUGUUAAAGAUUGGCACACAUAAACAAGAACAGGUAUAGAGAUAAAGAAAGAAAGAAAGAAACAGAGAAAUAACAACAACAAUUUACAGGAAUCAGAACAAGAAUUGAUAUAUUCAAGAACAGGACAAAUUCCCCAGUCAAAUUCACUACGUCUAUGAGCAGAAGUUACACACUCAUAGUCUGAAUUUAUACAAUAGGCUCUCUCUCUCUCUCUCUCUAUACAACUAUGAGUUUUCCCCGUGGUUUUCAGAUAACGAGUAUCAACCCCUUUUGUGACUUUCACUCUCUAUUUAUACAAGAUAUUAGUGCCCUAAUUUUACAAUUAGAGCCAACACGCUCUUGUUGGUUUUUUUUUUUUCUUCACAGCAGUUAGCUCUCAACUAACUCCAAACAGAAAUCUGUUAAAACUAUAAAACUAACUGGUGACAGAUUAACUAAUUAAACAACUCCCACAUAUCAAUCAAACAGAUUCCAACACACUAAGUCCCGAGAAAAAUAUUAAUUCCCUUUAUAAAAAAGGGAUGUAGAACUAAUGAAGAUUUCCUUUUUGAUUCAUCACCCUACCACCAUCUAUUUUCAUUGUUCAGAUAAUUGAAAACACUAAACCAUUGAUCAAUUCUCUCAAAACACGGGAAGACAAAAGCUCUAUAUUAGCAUAGCAUCUACUGAUACUACAGAAGAUACGACAGAGCACUUGAAUGAAAAUGUUAGGAAAUAACAGUUAAGGUCUCGCAUGAUACUUUGAAAAUGAAUUGGACAUUUGGGAAAAUAAAAAAAAUACAAAUAUGCCCACAACAGAAUGGAACCCCCAGAAAACAUUAUUUUUUCUUAACCCAUGAUUGUUCAUUAUUAGAUUUGAAUAGGCAAAGAGGUUGAUAUCCAAAAUCAUCUUCC